GUCUCUAUGGGCAGGAGUCUGACGCAGGAGAUGUAGUGGGUUAGCUGCUGCGGGAUACCUGCGCAGUGAAGUGUUCGUGGCCUGUUAAGACAGAUGAGCUGCAGCCAAAUUAGGGACCUUGUUAUGGUCAGCUGGUAGUUGGCUGUCUUAUCUUACUUUUGUAAAUAGUCAUUUUUAGGACGGGACUGUUGUGGACAGAAAUAUUAGCUCAAUUAAUUUUAGUAAGAUGUCUAUUUACUCAACAUAAUUACAAUCAGCAUUAUUCACCUUUCUAUGUGAUUAUCUAAAAUGGCCGCUAGGGAGUUUCCCCUCUAACACCGAUUAACAUGCUCAUUAACAAGAUGGUGCUGGAAUCUGGGGGAGACCUCCAUGAUGCCAGUGACAUCACCCUCAGUAGGCAGAGCAUUAAAUGAACCACUUAACACCUUACCAAUUAUUGAUGUAUUAUUUCAUGUUAUCUCUGACAAUUCUUAUGAUGUAA